GACGAACGCUGGCGGCGUGCUUAACACAUGCAAGUCGAGCGGAAAGGCCCUUCGGGGUACUCGAGCGGCGAACGGGUGAGUAACACGUGAGUAACCUGCCCCAGACUUUGGGAUAACCCUCGGAAACGGGGGCUAAUACCGGAUACGACACAGCUUCGCAUGGGGUCUGUGUGGAAAGUUUUUCGGGUUGGGAUGGGCUCGCAGCCUAUCAGCUUGUUGGUGGGGUGAUGGCCUACCAAGGCGACGACGGGUAGCCGGCCUGAGAGGGCGACCGGCCACACUGGGACUGAGACACGGCCCAGACUCCUACGGGAGGCAGCAGUGGGGAAUAUUGCACAAUGGGCGGAAGCCUGAUGCAGCGACGCCGCGUGAGGGAUGACGGCCUUCGGGUUGUAAACCUCCUUCAGCAGGGACGAAGCGUAAGUGACGGUACCUGCAGAAGAAGCGCCGGCCAACUACGUG
rnacentral:rRNA from 1 species